GAGUGCGGGCCUCUGGGUCCAACCUCCCAUCCGUGUCUAUCUGUACCCUGUUGCUUCGGCGUGGCCACGGCCCGCCGAAGACUAACAUUUGAACACUGUCUGAAGUUUGCAGUCUGAGUUUUUAGUUAAACAAUAAUUAAAACUUUCAACAACGGAUCUCUUGGUUCCGGCAUCGAUGAAGAACGCAGCGAAAUGCGAUAAUUAAUGUGAAUUGCAGAAUUCAGUGAAUCAUCGAGUCUUUGAACGCACAUUGCGCCCCCUGGUAUUCCGGGGGGCAUGCCUGUCCGAGCGUCAUUGCUGCCCUCAAGCACGGCUUGUGUGUUGGGCUUCCGUCCCUGGUAACGGGGACGGGCCCAAAAGGCAGUGGCGGCACCAUGUCUGGUCCUCGAGCGUAUGGGGCUUUGUCACCCGCUCCCGUAGGUCCAGCUGGCAGCUAGCCUCGCAACCAAUCUUUUUAACCAGGUUGACCUCGGAUCAGGUAGGGAUACCCGCU
rnacentral:rRNA from 1 species